UACGAAGGGGGCUAGCGUUGCUCGGAAUCACUGGGCGUAAAGAGCGCGUAGGCGGCCCUGUAAGUCCGCUGUGAAAGUCCAGGCUCAACCCUGGAAUGCCGGUGGAUACUGUCGGGCUCGAGUCCGGAAGAGGCGAGUGGAAUUCCUGGUGUAGCGGUGAAAUGCGCAGAUAUCAGGAGGAACACCGGUGGCGAAGGCGGGUCUCUGGGCCGAUACUGACGCUGAGGAGCGAAAGCGUGGGGAGCAAACAGG
rnacentral:rRNA from 1 species